rnacentral:rRNA from 1 species
ACACGGGGGGCGCAAGCGUUAUUCGGAAUUAUUGGGCGUAAAGGGCGUGUAGGCGGUUUUAUCGGUCAGAUGUGAAAGCCCAGGGCUCUACCCUGGACGUGCAUUUGAAACAGUAAGACUUGAGUACGGUAGAGGAAAGCGGAAUUCCUGGUGUAGAGGUGAAAUUCGUAGAUAUCAGGAGGAACACCGAUGGCGAAGGCAGCUUUCUGGACCGAAACUGACGCUGAUGCGCGAAGGCGUGGGUAGCGAACAGGAUUAGAAACCCCAGUAGUCC